AUGCAGUCGAGCGGGAGAGCUUGCUCUAGCGGCGGACGGGUGAGUAAUGCCUAGGAAUCUGCCUGGUAGUGGGGGAAACGUUGAAAGACGCUAAUACCGCAUACGUCCUACGGGAGAAAGCAGGGGACCUUCGGGCCUUGCGCUAUCAGAUGAGCCUAGGUCGGAUUAGCUAGUUGGUGAGGUAAUGGCUCACCAAGGCGACGAUCCGUAACUGGUCUGAGAGGAUGAUCAGUCACACUGGAACUGAGACACGGUCCAGACUCCUACGGGAGGCAGCAGUGGGGAAUAUUGGACAAUGGGCGAAAGCCUGAUCCAGCCAUGCCGCGUGUGUGAAGAAGGUCUUCGGAUUGUAAAGCACUUUAAGUUGGGAGGAAGGGGUUAAUACUGUUUUGACGUUACCGACAGAAUAAGCACCGGCUAACUCUGUGCCAGCAGCCGCGGUAAUACAGAGGGUGCAAGCGUUAAUCGGAAUUACUGGGCGUAAAGCGCGCGUAGGUGGUUGUUAAGUUGGAUGUGAAAUCCCCGGGCUCAACCUGGGAACUGCAUCAAAACUGCUCUAGAGUAUGGUAGAGGGUGGGUGGAAUUUCCUGUGUAGCGGUGAAAGCGUAGAUAUAGGAAGGAACACCAGUGGCGAAGCGACCACCUGGACUGAUACUGACACUGAGGUGCGAAAGCGUGGGGAGCAAACAGGAUAGAUACCCUGUAGUCCACGCCGUAAACGAUGUCAACUAGCCGUUGGGAGCCUUGAGCUCUUAGUGGCGCACUACGCAUUAAGUUACCGCCUGGGGAGUACGGCGCGGUAAACUCAAUGAAUUGAGGGGCCCCAACGGUGAGCAGGUUUAAUUCGAAGCACCAAUUACCGGCGACUCCAAUGCUUAGAUGCUGGACAUUGAACGCUGCAUGGUGUCCACUCGCAGUGUCCGUAACUUCUCCUGACGGAGGAAGAAA
rnacentral:rRNA from 1 species